rnacentral:rRNA from 1 species
ACGCUCGACACCUACGGGAGCAGCAGUUGGGAAUAUUGGACAAUGGAGGAAACUCUGAUCCAGUGACGCCGCGUGAAGGAAGAAGGUCUUCGGAUUGUAAACUUAUUUUGUCAGGGAAGAAAAAAUGACUGUACCUGAAGAAAAAGCACCGGCUAACUACGUACCAGCAGCCGCGGUAAUCUGAGCGGGCUGGCAAGGC